rnacentral:rRNA from 1 species
ACAACCGAGGUGCGGAGGCUGUCGCUGACCCUCAAAGGUCGUGCACGCCCGAGCGCUCUCACACAAUCCAUCUCACCUUUGUGCAUCACCGCGUGGGUCCCCUUUGCGGGAGGGCCUGCGUUUUCACAUAAAACUCGAUACAGUGUAGAAUGUUUCUUUUGCGGUCACACGCAAUCAAUACAACUUUCAACAACGGAUCUCUUGGCUCUCGCAUCGAUGAAGAACGCAGCGAAAUGCGAUACGUAAUGUGAAUUGCAGAAUUCAGUGAAUCAUCGAAUCUUUGAACGCACCUUGCGCCCCUUGGCAUUCCGAGGGGCACACCCGUUUGAGUGUCGUGAAAUCUUCAAAACCCUUUUUUCCCUUUGAACCAUUGCGGUCGGGAAAAGGAUUUUUGGACUUGGAGGCUCAAUGCUCGCCCUUUUCUUUUUGAAAGCGCGAGCUCCUCUCAAAUGAAUUAGUGGGGUCCGCUUUGCUGAUCCUUGACGUGAUAAAAUGUUUCUACGUUUUGGGUUUAGCACUGUCCCUUGGAUGCCUGCUCCUAAUCGUCUCAUNGACAAUGAUGNUGCUCUGGUCACNGCNGUCUACAUCGGCGGAGGCUGGACCCACAAAAGAAACCUUGA